rnacentral:lncRNA from 1 species
CUUUCCCAGGGUCUCGAUCACCUUGUCUUCUAUUCGCCCCUAGGUGAGGGAGGGACCCCAUCCCAGGAUGUGGAGGAUGAACACAGCACUCGCCACAAGACAGCCGCGAUGGAUACCCUGUAUCUACUGUGCAGACUCAGCCGGGGAGGACAUCGUGCCUGGCACGGAGAGAGGCAGUAGCUGUGGAGGGCAGUUUACUCGGCAGGUUUGCAGUGGCCACCUGAGGAGUCUGUGGAAGACUCAGAGGAUCCAGACAAAGAUCAAAGCCCCGAGCUCACUGCAGAGUCCAGUUGGAGUAAGGCUGGAAGCUGAAGUUCUACGUGAAAGGGAUGAAGAACCUGUAGAGGAACAUCCAGAGGUGGUGCUGAAGGCUGGAGCUCCUUCAAAGAAGCAAAAGGGCAGGCUUCCUCCUUUCCCUUUUUAUUCCAUCCAGGCCAGAAGCCUAUUGGCUGGUGCCACCCACAUUCGGGAGGGUCCUCCCUCCUCAGCUUGCAGCCUAUGUGUCAAUCACUCAUGGACACACCCAGAACUGCGCUCCACUGAUUUGCUAGGGGUUUCUCAGUCCAUUCAAGUUGAUGUAUCCCAGUGAACCACCACAAGAGAUCACCCGGAAGAUGAGAGAAAGUUCUGCAGACCAUGACGCCCCUCACAUUCACCAGGUCCCCUCACACACACUGUCCUCGAACUCUUUGAUCUUUCCUCCACCCAUGUAAAUCCAUUUGCUGUUUGAGACUGAGAUAACCACUUCUCAAAGGCUCCCAGGAUUAGACUGGCCUCUGGGACCCUUCUUCCUGAUGCUUAAUUUCACACCAAAUUUAAUCUGCUUUGUCUUAUUACAUAUGGGAAAGCUUUUCAUCUCAUUUCGCUAGAUGAGAAAAUUUUGAAGUAGGAAUAACAUUUUCUAGGAUUUACAGUCUCCUCUUAAUGGAAUGAAAAUGCUGAACAUUCAAUAUGUGUUAAAAAUAUUUCUGUGUUGAUUGGAACAGGAAGCCCAAACUAGUUGUCAAAGUCUUACUCCACGUUUCCCUUUAGUCCUUCAUUCCUGGGCAACUGUGCUGCUUUUGAAGGGAGCUAUGCUUCAUACAUAUGCCCC